ACUCCUACGGGAGGCAGCAGUGGGGAAUUUUGGACAAUGGGCGAAAGCCUGAUCCAGCAAUGCCGCGUGCAGGAUGAAGGCCUUCGGGUUGUAAACUGCUUUUGUACGGAACGAAAAAGCUCCUUCUAAUACAGGGGGCCCAUGACGGUACCGUAAGAAUAAGCACCGGCUAACUACGUGCCAGCAGCCGCGGUAAUACGUAGGGUGCGAGCGUUAAUCGGAAUUACUGGGCGUAAAGCGUGCGCAGGCGGUUAUGUAAGACAGAUGUGAAAUCCCCGGGCUCAACCUGGGAACUGCAUUUGUGACUGCAUGGCUAGAGUACGGUAGAGGGGGAUGGAAUUCCGCGUGUAGCAGUGAAAUGCGUAGAUAUGCGGAGGAACACCGAUGGCGAAGGCAAUCCCCUGGACCUGUACUGACGCUCAUGCACGAAAGCGUGGGGAGCAAACAGGAUUAGAUACCCGUGUAGUCC
rnacentral:rRNA from 1 species